GAGGGGGAUAACUACUGGAAACGGUAGCUAAUACCGCAUACGCCCUACGGGGGAAAGCAGGGGACCUUCGGGCCUUGCGCGAUUGGAUGAACCCAGGUGGGAUUAGCUAGUUGGUGAGGUAAUGGCUCACCAAGGCGACGAUCCCUAGCUGGUCUGAGAGGAUGAUCAGCCACACUGGAACUGAGACACGGUCCAGACUCCUACGGGAGGCAGCAGUGGGGAAUAUUGCACAAUGGGGGAAACCCUGAUGCAGCCAUGCCGCGUGUGUGAAGAAGGCCUUCGGGUUGUAAAGCACUUUCAGCGAGGAGGAAAGGUUGGUAGCUAAUAACUGCCAGCUGUGACGUUACUCGC
rnacentral:rRNA from 1 species